GGGGGGGGGGCGCACAUUAGUCCCUUGCUCCUCGCCGUCCCGAGGUAGAUGGCCGCGAGGCGGCAGCGGCGGGGACGGCCAGCUACGGAAGCGUGAAGCGGUGGCAGCUGGCAGGGACGGCCCGCCAUGGGAGCGUGAGGCGGCAGCGUGGACGGCCGGCCGUGGAAGUUCGAGGCGGCGGCGGCAGAAGACGGACGACGCGGGAGCUCGAGGUGGCAACAGGGAGACAGCUGACCACGGGACAUGGCGGAGCUAGGUCAUGAAUUUCUGGCUCCGCCACUGCCACGGGAGCUCCAGGUGGCGGCGGAUGUGACGAGAAGGGCCGGCGGCUGCUGGCCUUGCCGCACCUGGGCAACGACACUUGCGAGCACUGCCGGAGCGGGAUGGCAAGUUUGCGGUGGCGCCCGAGCAGCUCUGUGGGCUGAAGCAGGGUGACGCCGGUGCGCGGGGCGGCUGGCCGGAGCAAGGAGACGGGGGUGCGGUGCGACGUGCGGUGCGACGUGGGUAGAGAAGAGCAGCAUGCGGCCGGGCAGCUGUGGGUAGGCUGUAGGCAGCAAGAGCGGCGGAGCACCAGAGCUGUGGCAGAGCAGUGCAGCAGCGGCGAAGAAGAAGAUGCAGCAGCACCGAAACAACAAUGUAACAUGCAUGUGACGUCUUAACCUUCCAGGCAGGGAGAAAGGAUAAGAGGCCAUGUUUGGUUACAUGUCCCAUCAAAAUUUCACAAAAAGACGAAUGCCCGCAUGAAGUACUAAAUGAAAUUUAUUUGCAAAACCUUUUCAGGUAUGGGUGUAACUUUUCGAGACGAAUCUAAUGAGUCAAGUUUCAUCAUGAUUGGCUACAGUAAUGCUACAGUGACAGCGCUCAAUUAUCCCCUAAUCGUGCGGUCGAAGGCCUCAUUAGCUAGAGCAACUGCUACAGUACCAUAAUUGUGGAGGUAAUUUUGUAAUUAGACUUUAUUUAAUACCAUUAAUUAGUGGUCAAAGCAUCA